AAACGUGACAGUUGCAGCGAUUUAUUAUUUCCACUUUAGAAACAUCCGUGAAAAAUAUUGCAAUGUGAAAUGAAGGUGACCAAACUAGGUAUAAAAGCCCAACGUGCUAUGCACAAACACUGCAUACGGUGCUGACUUUGGUACAUCCCACAACAAGCAAAAAAUGGCGAAGUUCACUCUUGCCCUGCUUUUCAUAUGCGUGAUUUUCUCAGCUUCGGCAGGAACGGCCAGGCGACCAACUGUACCAACAACUAGAAUCCCCACUAGCACCACGGUCUCAUCCGUCAAUGUUAGCGAUGCGGAAAAAUCUCCUGGUAACAAUAUUAUUCUACCCACUACUACACCUUCUGUAGAUUAAUUCAAAUAAAAAAAACCUAAGAAAUUAUGUUACAUAUAUUAUGUGUGUAUCGAUAUUAAAAUAUCAAUAAAAAGCAACAUUAAAUUUCA